rnacentral:rRNA from 1 species
GAUGAACGCUGGCGGCGUGCCUAAUACAUGCAAGUCGAGCGAACAGACGAGGAGCUUGCUCCUUCGACGUUAGCGGCGGACGGGUGAGUAACACGUAGGUAACCUACCUAUAAGACUGGGAUAACUUCGGGAAACCGGAGCUAAUACCGGAUAAUAUUUCGAACCGCAUGGUUCGAUAGUGAAAGAUGGCUUUGCUAUCACUUAUAGAUGGACCUGCGCCGUAUUAGCUAGUUGGUAAGGUAACGGCUUACCAAGGCAACGAUACGUAGCCGACCUGAGAGGGUGAUCGGCCACACUGGAACUGAGACACGGUCCAGACUCCUACGGGAGGCAGCAGUAGGGAAUCUUCCGCAAUGGGCGAAAGCCUGACGGAGCAACGCCGCGUGAGUGAUGAAGGUCUUCGGAUCGCAAAACUCUGUUAUUAGGGAAGAACAAACGUGUAAGUAACUGUGCACGUCUUGACGGUACCUAAUCAGAAAGCCACGGCUAACUACGUG